rnacentral:misc_RNA from 1 species
UCAUAUCUUAUUAAUCUAUUUGGGUAAACAUAACUUUUAAAAUUUAAAAUUCCUUGUAGGCUACUAAUUUCUGCAAUAAUUUAUGAAUCUUUUUUUUUAUUCAGUUUAAUUGUGGAAUCAAAACUUUACUUGAGUUUGAAAUCUUGAAGUGUUUUAAAGUGAUUGAUUAUUAUAUUUUCAACUUUUAUAGUGCUACAUUUGUUAGCCUAAUAAAAAUUGGUCUUUAAUGUCACAGUUCUACAUUAAACGUGUGUAUCACAGUGAAGUAUUUUUGAUAUUGCGUGAGGUUUGAAUAUUUGAGGUCUAAGGUUUGAGCCCAGUGGAGUAUCUCUGAUAUUGUGUCAGUUUGAGUUUUGAUUAGUAGAGCAACUUUUCUAAAUUCAAAGGUUUGAGCACAGUGGAAUAUCACCAAUAUUUUAAGUCUUGAUUAGAUGAGUUUUUCAUUUUUGAAAGAUUGGUUCGAUUUUUAGUAAACCACAGCCACGAUCCCCUUCAAGAAUGGAUGGCAAUGAUUCAAAUCUGGAUGCCGAGAGUUUUGGAGCGUCAAGCGUCGAGGAAAAAGCCUGCCAAUGCACGCCGAUUAAACGAAAACGAUCAGUUAGCAGAGUUAUGAAAAGCAAGAGGGGAAGAUCUAGGAGUAGUGAUUGUGGGCCGAAGAAACGGAAGAAAAGCGAGAAAAAGAGACAAGUAAGAAAAGCGAGAUCUGUUAGCAAGUGUCCACCCACUGUCAAGUGUGGUACGAGUCGCUCCAAGUCGACUCGGCGAGCUAGAUCGAGGAGUAAGAGCAAGCCUAAGCGACAGAGUAGGUCGGUUGCUUGUUCGCCGGCAAGGAAGCGUUCGACAAAAAGGAGAGCGCAAUCUAAGUGUCCUCCGAAACCGAAAUCUAGGAAAGCCUCGAGGUCGGCCAGUAGGAAGCCGAAACCCAAGAAAGAUGCGGGAAGUUGUUCGACCGUGAUGAGUAAGAUACAGAAACUUCUGGAGAAAAUUAGAUCGAAGAAGAGUGAGCUCAAAAGUAAGGCUAGACGUGGGAAAAGGGCAAAGAAAACUAAGGAUUGUUGAGUUGGGGGAAGUUGUGUUUUCAGGAGGAGGCUCAGAAAAAUUGGGACAGAAGUAUCUUCUUCAAAGUUUAGAAGAGUUGAAUCUUUAAAAAUUAGGAACUAAUUGAGUUGGGGGAAGUUGUGUUUUUAGAAGAAAGAGGCUUAAAAAAAUUGGGACAGAAGUAUCUUCUUCAAAGUUUAGAAGAGUUGAAUCUUUUAAGAUUAGGAACUAAUUUUGAGGCUUAAAAAAAUUCUAAACUUUGAAGAAGAUACUUCUGUCCCAAUUUUUUUAAGCCUCUUUCUUCUAAAAACACAACUUCCCCCAACUCAAUUAGUUCCUAAUUUUUAAAGAUUCAACUCUUCUAAACUUUGAAGAAGAUACUUCUGUCCCAAUUUUUUUAAGCUUCAAUGUUUAUUGUAAAAUUUCAAUUAAAACUGAAUCAAAACUG